CCGUUGGCCCCGCUGUCGACCUCGAAGGGCGGGCCUCCCGCUCAGAAGCGGAAAGCCGAGCGCAGGCUGCCCUGAGGCCCUGGCUAGAGGUGUAGACCCGCCUGUGAAGGCGUUUAGGGCGCGCCGGCGUAACCCCUCCACAUCCGAGGAAGCUCAGAGUCCUCUGUCGCGUCGAUGUUCGCCCACUGAUGCAAGAUUAGAUGAAGACACACAAUUCUCGUACUUUGUUGCUGCAGGCCCAAUGGAAGGUGUGACAGGAGAAGCAGUGGCCUGGCUUCCUGACCCCUGGAUCAAAGCCGCAUAGCGCUCCACAGUACGGAUGUUUUCCAACUUCAGUACUUUCCCAUGUACGGACAGUUAAGACUGUUUCCACAGUUUGCAGUGGACGGCCAGUGAACAGACUGCCCAGCUCGCAGGACACCCACAGCAGCUGUCUCAGAGCCCUGCACUCAGCUAAUACCCUUGGCACAUGGAGGAUUCCAUACCGCCAGCUGGAAGGCGGGGAGGGCUCAAGCUUGGUUUACGGGCCGAGCGGCUCAGUAUACAGAUCAACGUGAAAAUGUGUGUCUCUCAGCCACCCCAGCGGGGCUGUGUGGGGAGCGCUUCUGUGUUUCCACACUGCCGGAGGCGUAUCUGCGGGGCAUGUUCCAGGUGGAAUGUCUAGAACCAAAGGUUGUGAAAGGUAUUGAUCAGAGGCUGGCUCUUAGCUCAGCCUUUCAGACACACCAAGGCUUUGUGGCUGUUGUGUCAGGGGAGAGAGCAGCAGCACUUCACCUUUCCGGAGGCCUGCCGGAAGGCCCCUGCAGGGACGGAGGUCGGGGGAGUUCCAGAGGAAACAGAAGGCUUGCGAACCUGACACCAGAGAGCCAGACUGCUCUUCCCGUGCUCCUCGUCAANNNNNNNNNNNNNNNNNNNNNNNNNNNNNNNNNNNNNNNNNNNNNUCCCCAGUGACCAUCUUGACCUGAACGAUGCCCCUCAGCCUGUGGGCUUCUCGCCAACAGGUAAUAGCAGGUUACAUUUUCUUUCCAUUCACCUUUUUCCAUUUCAGUCCCUGCCUGUCAUUACCACUGUAAUGUCUUGGCAUUUAUCAUUUUCUGUGAUCAACAUUUUGAUUUUCAAAUAAAUCAUCUUUUUUUCAUCCUGAAAGUUGAUCAUCUUGAUUUUCCCAAAUCUUUAAGCUACAGCCUUAUGAGUUACCUGACUCUGCGUGUCUACAUCCAAGGAGUUAUACUAGGUGUCUGUGAUAUAGGAUCUCCCCUGGUUAAAGUCCCAUUAUUAUUUCAAAAUCUGUGUCCUAACUUAUCCUUGUACCUUUUGGUCUACUUUGUUUCUUAGUUAAUUUUUGCUAGAAUGCUCUAUUGGCAAUUCCCUUUCACGUCCCAAGAAACUAAGAAGACCUGCUGAAAAUCACAGAAUUCUAAGCAGCAGUAUAUCAUAACUUCCAAGUAUUUGCUGAAUAUAAUUUAUUUGAAAUAGCCAUUUAUGUCUCAAAAAAGCAGAGGCGUUGAACACUGAAGGAGUAGUUUAAGUAGAUCCUCUUAGAUCGUUCAUGUGUGGAGAACAGCAAGUUUCGAAAGCCUUGUUUAGGGGAGCAGCCCCCAGCACUGUCUUCUGCUCACAUCCCGUGUGUCCCUCUCAGUUUCCCCUUCUCGAAGGCGCUUGCUGUGGUCUGGAUAUGGUUAUGAGUGUGUACCUCAAAGGCUCGUGAUCUGACACCCUGGGCUCCAGUGUGGUGGGUGUGAGACGGUAGAACCAUUGUGGAUAGGUAAGUCAAUUAGAUGCCUUGUAGGCAGUUAGACGGGGCCGACCCUCGAGAAGCCAGCGUGGAGGACAGUCAAGACACUGUCACUGAAGGCCAGCAUUGUGAAAGGAGAGAAGCUACCACACCCACCUAGGAUGAACAGCAGUGAUCGAUAUUCUAAAUAGGUAUCAAUCACCUGGGUGGGGAACCAGGAUCUUCCGGGAAAGAUCCCUGACCCAGUCCUUACCCAAAACUCUUGCUCAGUCCCUUGUACUCAGGCUGCGUGACUUGCUUCCCCGUUGAUCCCAACUAAUCAGUAUUACCUAAGGGACUGUACCUAUAAUCUCACUAGUUGACUGUAGUUUUGUCCCACCUUGAACCCGCCUCACCUUGUGGCUUUGUCCCCUAAAACACCUUUGAGAAGCAGGGUGAGCGGGCAACUCAUUUUCCAGUCCUCCUUCUGUCUCUCGUCUUUCUCCCAAUAAAUUCUUCCUACUCUUAACCUCCAUGUUCCUAGAAUUCAUUCUUUGAUUUUAGAGAACACGAACUCAAGUUUCGGAUACCUAGCAGGUUUGGGAGUUACAUCUCUUCCCCUUACAUCAGAACCGUAAGAUAUAGGGCCUGGUGGAAGGAGCUUAGGUCAUAGGUCCGUGGGGCUUGGGAAGGAUUAAUGCUGCUCUCGUGGAGUGAGUUCAUUCUUUCCGGAGCAAGUUAUUAAAAGCAAGGCCAGCCUUGGUGCUCAGUCCCUUCUGCCCUCCACUGCUUCCCCUUCACCACACUGUAAACACUAGAGGCUGAACAAAUACGACACCCUGCUGUUGGACUUUCAGCCUCAAAAGCCAAAUGCUAAAUAAACUCCUUUGCUUAUAAAGACGUCCAUCUCAGGUCAG
rnacentral:lncRNA from 1 species